GUUGGUGCCCAGCUGGUCCUUCAGGAGGCCCUGUGUGUCACACUGUUUACUCCUGACCAACCUCGCAGGGGUUUAAGGUCCUGUCCAAGAACAAAACCACGUAUGGAGAAAAACUACAGCACUGGAGAAUCAUUUGGUGCCCACAUCUUAUCUAUCAUGGGAACUGAGGAUAGGAGCCCGCUGUGGAUGCACAAGCGUCCCAACCGUUUACAUACACUCUUCUUGUUGGAGUGGACUGGGAGGAAUCUACAACUGUCCAGUCUAUUUGGAAUCACAUGCAUGCAGAAAAUUAAGACCACAAGGAACCUGGUAAAAGAGAAGAAGCACCAAAGGGCUGAGAAGUCUGUUCAAGUCUCUCCAACCUAAAAUCCUUCUCUCAGCUCUAUUCUACCCUUGAACAUCACCUAGAACCAUCUCAAGAUUUCAUAAAAAGCAGUCAACUUCAAACAGCCUUCACUUUCUUAGUUCUGUUUCUGGUGGUAAACAGUCUACAGAUGCUGAAAUCGACAUGCUACAAACACUUCUGAAAGUGACAGUGACCUAGAAGCUACAGGACGUGUGAUAUCUCAGCAGAAUGAAUGCAGAAGCAGCGAAGAGGAGCCAGCGGUCUUUCAUUAAGCCAGACACCAAAGUGAUGGGCAAACACCUCAAACUGUUUUCACUAAAGUUUUGGAAAAAAAUUUUUUUCAUGAAAAUAUAGAUCAUGUUACCAUGAAUGAGCAACGGCUAUUUUUAGAUGUUGCUAAUUAUUUUAAAAAUCAAUGUCUAAUAGGAUGAAUGUCAACAGGUAAAAGCCACAAAAACAAAAGCUCUCUGAGGUUCUCACCUUUUAAAAGUGCAAGUCCUAAGAACAAAAAGUCUGAGAGCUGCUGUAUUAAAAAUUGCAUACAGAAUUUCUCCUCCUCUGUGAAGUUUCAUCUCUAAACUGGCAUUAUAAAUUUGGCUUCUCAACUUAUAUGCAAAAUUCCCAAAUACCUCAAAAAGCACCAGUGAGAAACAAUGAAUAAAACGUACAAUAUGUAUAAUUUAAAGCACUCUGUGAAGGAAGUUCUUAUUGAUUUCCCAGUAAAUCAGACUGUAUAUAGCAGGCUGGGCUGAUUUUCACAUUAGCAUAUGGGCUAAAACCUCUGAAUAUUUCUUUAGCAUGAUACUAACUUUCCUUUCCAAUGAAGAUACUCUUUAUGGAAACUCAUUCACCAAAACCUAAAGUUUUAAGUAAUAAAUAAGACCUGUGCAUCCCGUGGUGAAGUCACAUUAGGUAGAAUGUAUUAACUCGUCAGCCAGGAUACAGAUGCUAAAGAGCUUAAGUACUAACACAUGUAUCAUAUAUAUAUACGCGAGAAAGAGAAAGCUCAGAAUCAGCAUUUUUCUGCCACAACAAAAUACCUUUUAAAAAAUCACACUUUCCAUUUGCCUAUCACCUCAGUUGUCCAACUGUCACCCAGUCUUCAGUUCUCUGAUUCAUGAUGCUAACGGGCUCAAGGGAGCUUCACGCAGGAAGUUUCCCAGCCUACUCAAGGGAGUUUGUCUUCCCUGUCCAGGGUUCACUUUCUUCUUCCUCUAAACCAUGUGUCAGUGGCAGGUACGUCCCUGACGUCACCUGGGGAAUGCAAUUACCAACAGGAAAGCAGGGUCCCCACUGAAUGGAGAAAAGCAGGUCAGCAGAAACAGAAUGAAUAUGAGUAAGAGGGAGAAAUUUACAGGCCACACCCUUCUCUCCAAAAUAAGAAUCUGAGAGUGACAUUACAGAGCUCCAAGCAUGAGUGCCAUCAUUUAUUCCUUUGACAGAGAGCAGUGCUAACAAGAGAAUGAAAUCCAUGUGCCGCUGAACACUCAGUUGCUAUAAAGGUGCAUCAUGCCCUCCCAUCUGUCUGUGAAGAAACCCAGGGCUUUCAGACUACAGCUCAGGGCAUUCACCCCAGGUCAUGGCCACAGAACAGCUAUUUGCAGGUUUCUCUAUAAAAUGUUUUUCUAUUUGCUUUCUGAGAUUGGAAUACAUCAGAGAAAAUGACUGCAUGUCACGCUGACCAUCUCAUUAAGGGAAACAAUUUGAUUUCAAGAGAAAAGAAACAUCAUGACUGCUUCGAGGGGACAGCAGCUGAAAUUUCAAGAAGCGGCUCUGGGGAUGGGACCAACGCGUCCUCUCCCACCUCCUGAUCAACACGGCUUAACUCUGCUAUACUUGGUUACACUUCCUGGAUACUGUGGGGGCUCUGUCUUACCAGGGUACCAACUGAUGUGAAAGACAACGCACGAGGUAGCACCCAAAAGUCUUAUUUAACCAAAUCAACGGGCAAAGGGAAGAAAGAAGAGAAAGUUGAGUUGGUUAACUUAGAAUGAAUGGGAUCUUCAUUCUAAGAAGAAGGAGGAAAUAAUCUUAUUUCCUUUUCUGGAGAAUGAAAUGGAACUCCUUGAAAUUAAACUAAUUUUCUUCACAUGUGGUUUAUGGACAUUGUGCAUGGUAACUCACUUCAGUCGUGUCUGACUCUCUGUGACCCCGUGAAC